AGAAGAAAAAAUGCUAUUUGAGAAAGAUGGAAUUUGUUUUGUAGAAACUACACUGGGAAUACCUCAAGCUCCCAGCUCUUAGCAACAGGGAGGGGAGCGGGAGUGGGGUUAGCUUCGUACCACAACUCAGAGGUGAUGAACUCGUAUCACUCUCGAGAAACUAUGUCCUUUUAUGCUAAAAACAGCAUAAUCAUAGUUAAAAGACCACUGCUCACAAUUUGAAAUUGUCUUAAGUGUGCAGAAGGUGACAGAUCACCUCCAUCUGCUUCUUUUCUCAUAUUGCAACAGCUCAGCGUGAAACCACAACACAAGCAGCAGACAGCACAGAGCUGUGCAGCAGGGAUCUCCAACUGGGGGGUUUUGUUUCAUUACCUUUAAAACCUGGUUUCUCUUUUGAUUUAAGGUUCUGCAUCAUCAGGUGUGAUGGUGGUUCCUCUGCAGUAAAAAAAAA